rnacentral:rRNA from 1 species
CCUACGUGAGGCAGCAGUGAGGAAUAUUGGUCAAUGGGCGCGAGCCUGAACCAGCCACGUAGCGUGAAGGAUGACUGCCCUACGGGUUGUAAACUUCUUUUAUAAAGGAAUAAAGUGAGGCACGUGUGCCUUUUUGUAUGUACUUUAUGAAUAAGGAUCGGCUAACUCCGUGCCAGCAGCCGCGGUAAUACGGAGGAUCCGAGCGUUAUCCUGAUUUAUUGGGUUUAAAGGGAGAGUAGAUGGGUUGUUAAGUCAGUUGUGAAAGUUUGCGGCUCAACCGUAAAAUUGCAAUUGAUACUGGCAGUCUUGAGUACAGUUGAGGUAGGCGGAAUUCGUGGUGUAGCGGUGAAAUGCUUAGAUAUCACGAAGAACUCCGAUUGCGAAGGCAGCUUACUAAACUGCCACUGACAUUGAUGCUCGAAAGUGUGGGUAUCAAACAGGAUUAGAUACCCCUGUAGUC